AAAAAAAAAAAAACCAAAUUACACGCAACUCGACAAAAAUGCAAAUAGGUCUGAACUUUUUAAAUAGGGAAAUCUUAGGUAAGGAAAGGAUUUGAAAAUGUUAAAAAUCUAGGUGACCUGAGAUUUGCAUAUGUUUUACGAGGAUAUGAAUACACUGAUUAGAGAUCCUGAGCAACAACAAAUGGUUUUCAACUUUUUCACUGUUGUUUUUAUGUCCUCAAACCCAAGAGGGCAUAUUAGGGUGAACAAAAAGUAGUUCUUAUUUAUCCUCGUCAGAAAAAAAAAGUAACAAAGAACACCCUGUUGGU
rnacentral:lncRNA from 1 species